rnacentral:tRNA from 1 species
UCCCUGGUGGUUCAGUGGUUAGGAUUCUGUACUUCUACUACAGGGGUGUGGGUUAGAUCCCUGGCUGGGGAA